rnacentral:ncRNA from 1 species
UAGACUAUAUAUAUAUUGCACUUUCGAAACUAAACCCCCUAGCGUUUUCAUAAGUUAUUUGGGUGUUCUUCUGCUACCUAAACCAAUUAGUGACGCGCAUGAAUGGAUUAACGAGAUUCCCGCUGUCCCUAUCUACUAUCUAGCGAAACCACAGCCAAGGGAACGGGCUUGGCAGAAUUAGCGGGGAAAGAAGACCCUGUUGAGCUUGACUCUAGUCCGACUUUGUGAAGAGACAUGAGAGGUGUAGGAUAAG